GCUCUUGUGGCCUAAGUGGUUAGAGCGCCCGCCUUGGAUGCGAAAGGUAGAGGGUUCGAACCUCGGCUGAGCG